rnacentral:rRNA from 1 species
UACAGAGACUGCAAGCGUUGUUCGGAUUCAUUGGGCGUAAAGGGUUCGUAGGCGGUGCGGCAAGUUGGGAGUGACAUCUCUGGGCUUAACCCAGAGGCUGCUUUCAAAACUGCCGUGCUCGAGUGCGAGAGAGGUCAGUGGAAUUGCAGGUGUAGCGGUGAAAUGCGUAGAUAUCUGCAGGAACACCCGUGGCGAAGGCGGCUGACUGGAUCGCAACUGACGCUGAGGAACGAAAGCUAGGGGAGCAAGCAGG